UGAACCCGGGAGGUGGAGGUUGCAGUGGGCCGAGAUAAUACCACUAAAAAUCAUCCCAGUUUCCUGGAGCUUACAUUUGGUAAACUUCAAUGGGGGAUUUUAGCAACGGUCUGCUUUUUCAGCUUAUGUUCAUUUACCCACUUAUUUGCUAAUUCCUUCAUCGGCAUUACAUAUCUUAACAUUAUUCUGGUAGAGUGCAAAGGAUGUAGUAUAUCCCAUUGUUCUUUAACACAUAAUUGGUUUCCACUUACAUCUUCCCAGAUAUUGUCCAGAUUAUUCUGUAUUCUCUCUCAAGUGUCCUUCAUUCUUGUAGGAAUACAGUAUUCCUACCCAGUCAGUAUUAGAAGUUAGAACUAAGGGCACAAGCUGUAGUUCUGGGGGCAUGCAAGUGCCAAGAGAAACAGAGCCAUGCUGGAUUGAAGAGUAUGGGAGGUGUUUUGAAAAAACAAGGGGAGCAAGGUAGGAUCUCACGCUUGGGGGGCAGAGUUCACAUACUUAUGAUGUCACUAAAUUUCCUGCCAAUAGAGAGAGAGGAAGGAAUCACAGGGUUCUACUCUUGAGGAGAAGGCUAGGAUAGGCCUCAGUGUAAAAAGGCGCUAUCGAAAACAGAGCAUAACCAAAUGAUGAAAGCUGAAGGAGAACACUCCUGGCAGGCAGAAACAGAAAGAAGGUUAAGAGAAGAAAUAAAAGAGAAGUGCUUGUUUGUGUGAAACCUGGGAUAAUUAGACUAUAUGGCAUUCUAAUCCUCAUCUGCACUCUCACUGGUUCUGCCCUUCUGUGGUUGGCCUUCAACCUCUUGACCUGGGUGAAUAUGGAAAUCCCAGGCAGUUCCCAAGUCUGCUUAGUAUUCUCUUUGCAGUCUGCAGUGGUGAGGUCACGUGUUGGAUUCCUCUAUCAAAAUCAAGUAAGUUCUGUUCUUGAAAGAGAGGGUCCAGCUCCAAUCCAGUCCCUUCCAGAAAUUGUCAGCCUCUUUUUCUGCCCUAGUUUACCUGAAGGAAACAUUCGUACCAGUAAUAGGAACUCAUUUCAAAGCAUAUCUUAUCCAGGGGCCCUCUAGGAAUACAGCUCAGGUAGACUCAUGAUUCUAGAUAUUUUUGCAGCAUUCUUCUCCCUCUACCCCUGCACUUCCCCUGAGCUGCCAUUUAUUCCUGUUUUAAAGUCCCUGAACUGCAUCUUUUAGCUGUCUGGGCACUCAGACUCAGAUAGGAGGCCCUAGAGAGCUGUUAGCCUUUCUUCUCUCUCCUUCGUGAAUUCAGACUACUUCAUAUUUGGUUGAAUUUUCAUGAUCAGCACCCUUCUUCUCUCCCUAAGCUUCAUACUCCUGGCCUUUCCUCAUUUCUUUCAUGAUACCUGGAAAUGCACCUUAUCUGCACAAUCACCUUCAUCAUUAUAGGUAAGAAAUAGGAGGAAGGAGAUUCCCUCAAUAGUCCUGAUUCUGGGUGGGGUGGCGUUCCAUUAGAUAUAGUCUCUUGGAAACUGCUCAGGGACUGCUAAGGAAAAGGAGGAUUCAGGGAAAAAGGAGAAAAAGAAACCAGAGUAGGGGGAGCUAAAAUGACGACUUAAGGUUCUGGGAAUUAGCCCUUAGGCAGUAGACUAAGCUAACUAGGUGAUGGAUCAUCACCUUUUUUCUUUUUUUGAGUAACAGGUAUCUGUGCGUUCCUUGCAUUACUGCUGCGCUCUUUGUAGGCUUUGAAAGUAAAUAAGUUAUACAAGAAAGUGAAAACCACCCCUCUCUUCCCGCCUUUCAUCCUUUGAUGCAGUGCCGCACUAUUUCCCUUAUCUGGAAUUCUCUGCUUCUUCAGCUUUCUUCCUUGUUGGCUUCGAUGUGCUUUACUGCAACCAAUCCAAGUGCAACCCGUGUAAAUAUCGGUAACCAAUGUGAAUCCAAUAUCAAACAGAGAGGAAACUGGGUAGAGAUGGCUAGGCUAACCUUGGCAGUGGUGACAAGGGUAACUUCUGAAAGUUCAUAUCUAGCCUGUCGUUCAAGACUUCACAGUCACACGCACACCCUAGUUUAAUAACUGUGUAAGACUGAAAAGAGUUGGCCUUUCACUAAUCAUUGUUCAAAUAUGGAUUAGGAGUCUAGGAACCUGGGUUUUUACAGGAGAGAAGACACAGUUGUGUGGGAGAAGAUGAAUGCAUCUUUGGCUCUUGGAGACUGAUAAUGAAAAACUUUCUCCUCACCUUGUAGACUCCCUAGGCCCAUCCCACCCCCACUGUUAUUUGUGGUCCCUGGCAGGAGUUUCUAAUAGUGACAAAGCUUUUUCUUCACCUAUAAAGCCUGAGUUUUUAUAAAAUUCUCUGCCUUCUGGGAGUUUCAUGACUGGGAUCUUUUCACAAUGUGAGAGAAAAUCUACUGGAGAUCAUAUAGGACAAGUUUUCCUCAACAAGAGAUACAAGGAAGAGGUCAAUUUGUUUGUUUUUCUGAAAUUUAUCAUGAGACUGUGAGAGUUUGAGGCACUGCAGGGGGACCAGCCAAAACAUGAGACCCAUAUGUUGAGAGUGACAGAGUGCAAAGUUCAAAAAACUCAAAAUAUUUAAAGAUUUAUCAUGGGUCUUGAUGGCAUGAUGGAACCUCUCUACUCUCUGGACUUACUAGGUGUGGUAAUAAAUCUACUUUGUUUAAGCCAGUUGAGUGGUU